rnacentral:lncRNA from 1 species
ACCAUAAUUCCCUCCCAGAUACCAAUUAUGGAAAAUCUGCCUCAACAAAAUUCCAUUUAAAAAAGAAAUAUGGUACAGAAUGAAUCACAGAUUUCCUCAGGGAAACUGGGUUAAGAGCAGGACAGGUGGGGCGCCUGGGUGGCACAGCGGUUAAGCGUCUGCCUUCGGCUCAGGGCGUGAUCCCGGCGAUCUGGGAUCGAGCCCCACAUCAGGCUCUUCUGCUAUGAGCCUGCUUCUUCCUCUCCCACUCCCCCUGCUUGUGUUCCCUCUCUCGCUGGNCUUUAAAAAAAAAAAAAAAGAGCAGGACAGGUGAUGAAAUUGCUUCAUGGAGUUCCUUUUCUGCUAGUCUUGUUUAGGUAUUCAAACAACACGAGAGCUAAGAACGCUCAGAGACUGCCAGUGAAGGGAUGACUGCUUGAUGAGAACACAAGGAGAAAGGGAGAACGGGGCCUCCAAGACUCCCACUCAUGAUGCGUCUGUUGGUUGUCUUCAAAGAAAUGUUGCCAAAACAUCAAUAUUUUCAGCAUUAGAAAACUGAAGAAUUGUUUUCCACGUAAUUCAGUAAAAAUGUGGGUAUAAUUGAGGAUGUCUUACUCAGCCAGCUAAGCUGUCAUCAGGUGAGGUCACGGUGACCACUUGCAACAGGCCCCCUGUCCCCGCCCCCACGUCCUGUCCUGCUAUCCCUGCUUUCCCACCCUCUCUUCGGUCCCUUCCUAAUUCUGCAGCGUGAGAUACCUUUCACCCACAGGGGAGAUGAUUAGUGAUGUGCUGCUGGGUACAAUUAUGAAAAGUGCAAUUAUUAUUUACACAACUCCUGCUGAAACCAAGCCCAUCAUAUCUCACUUGGUUUUGUUAAUUGCCAAACUUUUCCUUUAACUCUCUCAACAGCAUGGUACCUACUACUCAGUGUUCUUCAUUGGAGAAACAAAAGUGUCUUAAAGAAGAUUGGCCCAUUCUGCUUUUAUUUACUUACUUACUUACUUACUCACUUAUUGAGAGAGAGAGAGAGAGAGAGAGAGAGAGAGAGAGAGAGAGAGAAGAGAGGAGCAGAGGGAAGGGAGAGAGAGAAUCUUAAGUAGGCUCCACGCCCAGUGUAGAGCCUGAUGUGGGGCUCAAUCUUACGACCCUGAGAUCACAACUUGAGCCAAAAUCAAGGGUCAGACACUUACCAGACUAAGCCACCCAGGCGCCUCAAAUUCUAUGUAUUGGAGCUUCUGCAGUUGUGGCAGCUGGUUAAGUGGUUUCUGCAGGUUUUUGUCUUUGCAUCUUCUGUUAGAGCUUAAAGUCCUCUCAUUAGGCAGCCAUUCCCAGGGAGGGAAGAUGGAGAUAAAGUAGGGGAGAGCAAGAAGAAGUUGGAAUCCAUGAAUAUGAUCUGGAAUCCACAAGGAAAGACUGAAACCUGUGUCAUUUCCUAUUGCCCCUGACCUUGGUGGGGUAGGUAUUUGCAGCAGCAGGGCCUUUCUUCAUGGAGUUAAAGACACACGCCUGGCCCAGUGACGCUGAAGAAGGAUCCUGAGGAAGGUGGAGUGCUCACGGGCCUGAUGGCUGCCUCACGUGAAUGAGUCAGACAUGUGUAAGUUACAGAGUGGUCCUUCCUAUAGCUUACAAGGAUCUCCCUUGUGGCCCACCCCAUCUGGAAACAUACAGAAAGAGGAACUCUGAGAAAUGUUGUUCAGCCUAGCAACAUUGACACUUUACAAAGUUGCCUCUUGUAUCUUCCAGUUAAUUGCUCAUGACAGUUUUGAGUUGCAUUUCCUAUUUUGCCAGUGAUUAACAACCAACCCUAAUAAAGACUAGAAACUUAUUUUGUUCUUUUUAAAG